rnacentral:rRNA from 1 species
GAUGAACGCUGGCGGCGUGGAUAAGGCAUGCAAGUCGAGUGGGUUUAGACCCACGGCAGACGAGGUAGGAACACGUAGGUAUCUACCCUCAAGUCGAAAAUAACCCAUCGAAAGGUGGAAUAAUAUUCGAUAGUCCCUCCGGGGUAAAGUUUUAACGCUUGAGGAAGAGCCUGCGGGUUAUCAGCUUGUUGGUAGGGUAAAAGCCUACCAAGGCUACGACGACUAGGGGAGCUGAGAGGCUGACCCCCACCGAUGGAACUGAGACACGGUCCAU